UAUUGGGUGGUAAUUCAGCAGAGCAGAUACAAAAUUGAAGGCAAGUUUAUUUACUAGCUAACUAGUGUUUUUGAAUGAUAUCUGAAAACCACAUGUUCUAUAGAUCAGAUGGUCAGAAUAUUCAUAAUUGAUCAAAAAACGGUUUCUCAACCAGUAAUGCACACCACUCAACACAAUUCAUUUCAAACAUUGACUAAAAAUCCAUGAAGUUGACUGAGGAAAAUUCUUUCUAAGUUUCAGGUGAAACAGCAGGAAGCUAUUGGCGCUGGAUGGUCAGCCUUGAGGGCCACUUCAUAUGUGAGGGGAUCCAGCCCACCUUCUUGAUGGGGCUUGCUGCAUUAUUUUCCACCUUCUACACCUGCACGCUCAAAUUAAUCUCAAGGUGCACCGUAGGAAUAAACCCUGAGAGAGGCACCAAGGAUGGACAGGGCAAAGUCUUCUCAAAGAAAACUGGCAAAUUCACGAGCUACAAGACAAGACUACAACCGUAUAUCCACAUGUAUCCACUCUGCUGAUGGGACUCAUGGACUUGAGUGGGACUUCAUUUAAAAUGUCAGCGGGCUACCAAGGCUGGAUUGAGAGUACUGGUGUCUUUGAGUGGGCCAUAAGUCAUUCGCUAACUCACUCCCCCAUUAUCGCCCAAUACUUGGACUUCCACACUUAUCCAUGUGCCUUGUUAGAGCCUGAAUAUUCAUACUUGGACAUGAUGUCACAUGUCUGGUGGUGUUGGUGCUCAUUAGUAUAUAGACAAAUUAUUUUGUAUUUAAUGUUAAUUUUUUUUUUAAAUUUGUACCACUGAUAUGCCUUAAGGCUCAGCAAUAUAUUCAGUAUAUUCACAUGUUACAUGAUAUAAGGCAAAAUAUUAUUUGAGAGUUUUGUUUUAACUCUAUGAUAUAGCUCAACUCUCUGUAACUGUUCCACAAAGUAAGGUUAGUAAGAUUGACAGAUGUCUUCAGAAAUGCUAUUUCUUCUGAAAUUUGGUUUGUUAUCUGUGUCAGGUUUUUGUUGGCGCUGUGUUGAACUUCAUAUGAAAAUAAAAAAUA